UACGAAGGGGGCUAGCGUUGCUCGGAAUUACCGGGCGUAAAGCGCACGUAGGCGGUCUUUUAAGUCGGGGGUGAAAUCCUGGAGCUCAACUCCAGAACUGCCUUCGAUACUGGAAGACUUGAGUCCGGGAGAGGUGAGUGGAACUGCGAGUGUAGAGGUGAAAUGCGUAGAGAUCGGGAGGAACACCCGUGGCGAAGGCGGCUCACUGGGCCGGUCCUGACGCUGAGACGCGAAGGCGUGGGGAGCGAACGGG
rnacentral:rRNA from 1 species